AAAACAAAACAUGGCCCAAUCUUAUCUCACUCUCUAUCUCCUCUCCCCCUCUCUCUCCGUCUCUCUCUUCGACUGAAACCACGAGCAGCCGCCGCCGCUCGUCGUCGGGAGGGCUGCUGCCCGUCGGAAGCUGCUGUCGCCGCCGGGGAGGUCGCGAAGCCGUGCUGCCUCGGUUCGCCGCAGGAAAGAAGCUGCUGUCGCCGUUCACCCGCCGUCGCCGCCUGCUCCAGCGCCGCUGCUGUCUCGCCGGGGAGAGGAACGUCGCGGUCAUCGUGGGAGGUCCAGCCUCCGGGACGUCGUCGGCACCGGGAGAGUCGAGCGCGGCAUGUCCGCCGCUGCCCGUCGCCGGCGGUGACUUCUUCUCGUUCGAAACUACCCCGAACGACCCCGAAUCAACCCGCAACACGCAUUUUCAUUAUAAAGUUAAGUUCUUUCGUAGUUUCGGUUACGUACGGCGAUCGUUUGGUUGAUUCUUAGUUGAUGUUAUUUGGUUGGGUUAUGGAAUACGAAGGUGUAAAAACAAAUAUGCAAGGCUAUAAUAAUCUCAUGCUUGGUGAUAGGAAAGAAUUAUACCUCCAAAAAUGGUUGAAUUUGGUAGAAGAAACGCAAAAGAUGGUACCCAAAACUUCCUCCCUUCCUCUCGGCAAUCUCCCUCUCGGCUCCUCUCGGAUCCUGACCUCAUUGAGGACUUGGGCCGUGCCCGCUACAUUUCCCGGCUUGGCCCUCUUAACGGCUAUGUCAGUUCCGUCGUCUAAGGAACGUGGUCAGGAGCAGGACAAGGAAUAUGCCCGCAGUAGCUGCACAUUGGCCAACCAAAUUGGACUUGUGCUAAAUUUCCAAAAAUUAAAAGUUCAUCUCCAAGGCUUAGUUACUUACCUCCAAUAGCUGGUGUGUGAUACUGAUUGGAUCCCAGUAGCGCCCCUUCUUGCAGAAACACCUCCUCCGGCCGCCAUCAGUGGGGUCCGCCAAGCACGUUGAAAAGGGAAGCUCGCGGCAGUCUGACUUAGUGUUGCAGGUUGGCUUCAAUGGCGAGACGUAGAGGAGCUCCAAGCCAGGCGCCGGCCACUUGGCAAAUGGGAGGCCAGGGUCGAAAUUCACGUAGCUGUUAUACGCCAUACAUCCAUUUGCGUGGACGCGGAUGAUGUACGCGUUCUGCGAUCCCCCUGUCCUAAACGAGCAGCACUCUUCUGCUUGUUGUUGCAAGCGCCUGCUGACCGGGUGUUGUCGAUGUAGGUGUGGCAAGGGCAGUUGGAGGAGCAGUUGAUAGGCACCUAAAGAUAAAAAAUUGCAACAUUGUUUAGAAAAUGAGGUCAAAAUCAAGCUCAUUGGGGAUUAUAUCACCUGCAAAUGAAGCAUGUUGUCUGUGCAGUUGAAGAGGAGUAUUGUGUUGCUGCUGCUGAUGUUGAAGAGGAUCGAAUCGUCCAUGUGGAAGCCUUUGCUGCUGAAGUCCUCGGAGAAGCAGGUGCCUGGGAGCACAGACGGCGGACGGAUCACCAACCGUUGGGAUCUCGUGUCGAUGGAUGUGAUCGGGUAGAGUCUCCCUGGCUUGGAGAUGAAAUGAAGAGUGCUUGUGUUUUGAUCACACUUGAUUUUGUAGGCCUGGUCUCCGCAGUUCGGGCCGCUGCUCAUCGGGUAGGGGACCGGGGUCUUGCCACACGGGCCGCAGUGCAUGACUGCCGCUGCCAAAGGAAGAAAUAUUGCUAGGAGGGAAAACGGAGCAGUCACCAUUGGAGCAGUAGUAGUAAUAUGUGGUGCACAGCAUAUAUGGUUAGUUAUAGUCAUUUAUGUAUACUAGUAGUAAUAUUUUUUCAUGUGAUUGAGUUUUGGAGUUGGUUAGUUUUUUGUCUGUUUCAACUUCGUGUAGGAAUUUGAUGUUUCAUAUUUCCAUGUAUUGAUAUACGCAGAUAAGUUAUAAAGAAAUGAGAGGUUAAUUAAUUUGGA